GUUAAUAGCGCUAUCUCUUGACGUUAGCAACAGAAGAAGCACCGGCUAACUCCGUGCCAGCAGCCGCGGUAAUACGGAGGGUGCGAGCGUUAAUCGGAAUUACUGGGCGUAAAGCGCAUGCAGGUGGUUCAUUAAGUCAGAUGUGAAAGCCCGGGGCUCAACCUCGGAACUGCAUUUGAAACUGGUGAACUAGAGUACUGUAGAGGGGGGUAGAAUUUCAGGUGUAGCGGUGAAAUGCGUAGAGAUCUGAAGGAAUACCAGUGGCGAAGGCGGCCCCCUGGACAGAUACUGACACUCAGAUGCGAAAGCGUGGGGAGCAAACAGGAUUAGAUACCCUGGUAGUCCACGCCGUAAACGAUGUCUACUUGGAGGUUGUGGCCUUGAGCCGUGGCUUUCGGAGCUAACGCGUUAAGUAGACCGCCUGGGGAGUACGGUCGCAAGAUUAAAACUCAAAUGAAUUGACGGGGGCCCGCACAAGCGGUGGAGCAUGUGGUUUAAUUCGAUGCAACGCGAAGAACCUUACCUACUCUUGACAUCCAGAGAAGCCAGCGGAGACGCAGGUGUGCCUUCGGGAGCUCUGAGACAGGUGCUGCAUGGCUGUCGUCAGCUCGUGUUGUGAAAUGUUGGGUUAAGUCCCGCAACGAGCGCAACCCUUAUCCUUGUUUGCCAGCGAGUAAUGUCGGGAACUCCAGGGAGACUGCCGGUGAUAAACCGGAGGAAGGUGGGGACGACGUCAAGUCAUCAUGGCCCUUACGAGUAGGGCUACACACGUGCUACAAUGGCGCAUACAGAGGGCAGCAAGCUAGCGAUAGUGAGCGAAUCCCAAAAAGUGCGUCGUAGUCCGGAUUGGAGUCUGCAACUCGACUCCAUGAAGUCGGAAUCGCUAGUAAUCGUAGAUCAGAAUGCUACGGUGAAUACGUUCCCGGGCCUUGUACACACCGCCCGUCACACCAUGGGAGUGGGCUGCAAAAGAAGUGGGUAGUUUAACCUUUCGGGGAGGACGCUCACCACUUUGUGGUUCAUGACUGGGGUGAAGUCGUAACAAGGUAGCCCUAGGGGAACCUGGGGCUGGAUCACCUCCUUAU
rnacentral:rRNA from 1 species